GAUGAACGCUGGCGGCGUGCCUAAUACAUGCAAGUCGAGCGAACAGACGAGGAGCUUGCUCCUCUGACGUUAGCGGCGUACGGGUGAGUAACACGUGGAUAACCUACCUAUAAGACUGUGAUAACUUCGGGAAACCGGAGCUACUACCGGAUAAUAUAUUGAACCGCAUGGUUCAAUAGUGAAAGACGGUUUUGCUGUCACUUAUAGCUGAAUCCGCGCCGCAUUAGCUAGUUGGUAAGGUAACGGCUUACCAAGGCAACGAUGCGUAGCCGACCUGAGAGGGGGAUAGGCCACACUGGAACUGAGACACGGUCCAGACUCCUACGGGAGGCAGCAGUAGGGAAGCUUCCGCAAUGGGCGAAAGCCUGACGGAGCAACGCCGCGUGAGUGAUGAAGGUCUUCGGAUCGUAAAACUCUGUUAUUAGGGAAGAACAAAUGUGUAAGUAACUAUGCACGGCUUGACGGUACCUAAUCAGAAAGCCACGGCUAACUACGUG
rnacentral:rRNA from 1 species